rnacentral:rRNA from 1 species
CCUACGGGUGGCAGCAGUGAGGAAUAUUUGUCAAUGGACGCAAGUCUGAACCAGCCAUGCCGCGUGCAGGAAGACGGCUCUAUGAGUUGUAAACUGCUUUUGUACGAGGGUAAACGCAGAUACGCGUAUCUGUCUGAAAGUAUCGUACGAAUAAGGAUCGGCUAACUCCGUGCCAGCAGCCGCGGUAAUACGGAGGAUUCAAGCGUUAUCCGGAUUUAUUGGGUUUAAAGGGUGCGUAGGCGGUCGGAUAAGUUAGAGGUGAAAGCCCGAGGCUCAACUUCGGAAUUGCCUCUGAUACUGUUCGGCUAGAGAGUAGGUGCGGUAGGCGGAAUGUAUGGUGUAGCAGUGAAAUGCUUAGAGAUCAUACAGAACACUGAUUGCGAAGGCAGCUUACCAAGCUACUUCUGACGUUGAGGCACGAAAGCGUGGGGAGCAAACAGGAUUAGAUACCCCUGUAGUC